UUUCUCAACUACUGUAAGCCGCUCUGGAUAAGAGCGUCUGCUAAAUGACUAAAA
rfam:Salmo salar isolate Sally breed double haploid chromosome ssa21, whole genome shotgun sequence.